CCUGUUAUUCCGUUAACAGUAACCUAGCAGCAGGUGCGUGAAUGGCAACAUUCGGGUGCUAAGGUGCUGUGACAAAGUAGCCCUUUCCCCAAAAGGGAAUAAGCAAUCUUCGUGAGAAGAAAGUGAUACUGCUAGCACAAAGGCGGUUGGGAGC
rfam:Pseudobacteroides cellulosolvens ATCC 35603 = DSM 2933 ctg1, whole genome shotgun sequence.